AUUGAACGCUGGCGGCAGGCCUAACACAUGCAAGUCGAGCGGAGCGGCGGACGGGUGAGUAAUGCCUAGGAAUCUGCCUGGUAGUGGGGGAUAACGUCCGGAAACGGGCGCUAAUACCGCAUACUAUCAGAUGAGCCUAGGUCGGAUUAGCGAGUUGGUGGGGUAAAGGCCUACCAAGGCGACGAUCCGUAACUGGUCUGAGAGGAUGAUCAGUCACACUGGAACUGAGAAACGGUGCAGAAUCCGACGGGAUGCAGCAGUGGGGAAUAGUGGACCAUGGGCGAAAGCCUGAUCCAGCCAUGCCGCGUGUGUGAAGAAGGUCUUAGGAGUGUAAAGCACUUUAAGUUGGGAGGCGUUACCAGCAGAAUAAUCACCGGCUAACUUCGUGCCAGCAGCCGCGGUAAUAC
rnacentral:rRNA from 1 species